rnacentral:tRNA from 1 species
GGUCUCGUAGUGUAUCGGUUAACACGCCUGCCUGUCACGCAGGAGAUCGCGGGUUCGAUUCCCGUCGAGACCG